GGAGGAGAGCCCCAGCUCGGCGCGGCCCCGGCCCGAGCAGCACCGGCGGCUGCUCCUCAACUCAUUGGCCUUGCACCGCCCGCCCCGCCGGCUCCCCUCGGGCGCGGAGCGCGGCCCCCGUGCGCAGCUGCCUGACGCUGCAAAAUGGCGGCCGGCCGCCCCGCCGCGCCUGCGCGCCCCGCAGCGGGGGAGGCGGCCGCGGGGCCCCCCGCUGGAUGCCCCCCUGCUCCUGUCCUCGCCGUGCUUGGGGCUUGGGGCGGGGCGUUUGGCCGUGCGGAGAUAAGGCAGAAAAACCUCCUUUGUCUGCUCGCCGCGCCUCCCUCCCCUGCCUCUCAGGCCCUAAUAACCCACUUCCAGUGGCCGCUCUCUGGAGAACCAGUUUAAACCGAUACUCGUGAGCCACGCUGCCCGAGAGCUUGGGAGGCCGUGUUUUGGGAAAAGGCACGGAAAAGCCCACUUAUGUAACAGCUCAGAGCUGGGAAGCAGAGCCGUCCCCGUUUCUUGGUGUGCUCGCCGUUUCAGCCAGCGUUUGCUCAAGUCAGAG
rnacentral:lncRNA from 1 species